GGUGAUUGAUAUCUUCAUUCGCAAAACGAAGAUGAUGACGACGCUGCAGCGCUGCCGACGCAGCAACUGCGACAGAGCACGAGUCGUUGCCGACGACGCUGCUGCUGGCUCGGGGCCUUGUGGGUGGCUGGCUGCUGCGGGUGAUGGCUGUCUGACGGGUAACGUGAGUGAUUGCAACGCGAAAGAAAAGACAAGAAAACGCGAAGUGCAACAAUGAAAAUCCAAAUAGACGACGACGAAAGAAUGAAGAAUAAUACAAUGAACACCAGUGCUUAAAAGGGACAGCAAAAGAGAUAGAGAGAGUGAGUGUGAGAAAGGGGUGGGGAAAAUGGCGUAAGACAGUGUGGGGAAGGGGAGCGUCCAAGCGUUGCCACUUUUUUGGUAAAUUGCCCAACAAAAACAUAAAGUACAAAAAAAGUCCGUUGAACCGGAACUAAGACGCGGCGUUGGCAUUGACAAGGGAUGCGAAAGAGCGAGCAAAUGAAAGAUAUAGAGCGAGAGAGUGAGAAAGGUCUCUGGACUGGCAAGAACAUUUUGUGUAUGCCUCGACACUUGUUGGCAAACCCCCUCCACUGCUCCUUCACCGCCACUCCACCUCUCCCCUCACCAUACCAACAUCAGCACACGACCCAAGCUCAGACAUCCAUCACUCACACCUCCCAAUCUGGAAUCCCCGCCUCUUCAUUAUAUACCAGAUACAAUCGAUGCUGGCGACCGCAAGAAAUGUAUCUCAUAAAUAUGUACAUACAUAUAUACAUUCAAAUGUAUGUGUACAUUCGAAAGCGGGCAAAAAAUGGAAAUAGAAAUACAAUAUUAUCGAAACUAAAUAAUGUCAUAAUUAAGUUUGUAAUGCAUUCAAAUAGAUAUAAAUACAUAUGUGUACAUUUUUGCAGUAUUCAUCUAAUUAGUACAUUUUUUUUUGUGUUUAAAUUAAGUUUCACAUACGCAAUUUUUAAAGACAAAGAAAUUUUUCUUAUUUUUCAAUUUUCAACUAUAAAAAUUCAAAGAUUUUGUAACUAAAACGAAUAAACGAAAAGUACACAAAUUAGAAAGCUUCAGUAGAGUCUGCUCGACUGUGAGAUACCCACUACCCAUUUUCAAUUAAACCAUAUUAAAAAAAAAUUAAUAUACCAAAAAAAAUAUUAAAAUACACCAAAGACCAUAUUUGGUAUAUCUAUGUUCAUAAUACCACAUUUGAAAGAUAAAAUAAAGUACAAAAUAUGUAUGAUCUUUAUUGUCAACCAAAGCAACUAAGAAAUUUACCAUACUAAGGAAUUUCCCGAAUAAAUCUAACAAUUUUCUAUACAUUUUCGUGUUAGACACAACGCAGGGCAACGUAAUUUUGUUUUUCAAUAUUGUUUUAUAAUUUUCCUGUUAUGGGAUAUAUUACUCUAUAUCCUCUUCUCUCUUUAAUAUGCCCGCAAAGUGCAAAAA